CGGGGUGAGUAACGCGUGGGCAACCUGCCCUUAUCUGGGGGAUAACAGUUGGAAACGACUGAUAAUACCGCAUAAUAUGGUUUGAAGGCAUCUUCUUUCCAUCAAAGAUUUAUCGGAUAAGGAUGGGCCCGCGUCUGAUUAGCUUGUUGGUGAGGUAACGGCUCACCAAGGCGACGAUCAGUAGCCGACCUGAGAGGGUGAUCGGCCACAUUGGAACUGAGACACGGUCCAAACUCCUACGGAAGGCAGCAG
rnacentral:rRNA from 1 species